rnacentral:rRNA from 1 species
UACGUAGGGACCGAGCGUUGUCCGGAAUCAUUGGGCGUAAAGAGCGUGUAGGCGGCCACUUAAGUCCUGCGUUAAAUCUUGCGGCUCAACCGCAAGCGGUCGUGGGAAACUGGGUGGCUAGAGUGCGGGAGAGGAGAGUGGAAUUCCUGGUGUAGCGGUGGAAUGCGCAGAUAUCAGGAAGAACACCCGUGGCGAAGGCGGCUCUCUGGAACGCAACUGACGCUGAGACGCGAAAGCGUGGGGAGCAAACAGG